rnacentral:rRNA from 1 species
ACGGAGGAUGCGAGCGUUAUCCGGAUUUAUUGGGUUUAAAGGGUGCGUAGGUGGACUGUUUAGUCAGUGGUGAAAUACUGAUGCUCAACGUUAGCAUUGCCGUUGAAACUGACAGUCUUGAGAGUGAUUGAGGCAGGCGGAAUGCGGGGUGGUGGGGAAAAAAAGACAAAAAUCCCACAGAAGCCAGAUUGGGUGGGGAUCUUGCAAAGCCACAACUGACUCUGAAGCACGAAAGCGUGGGGAUCAAACAG